AUUCCAAUGAAUGCCUAGCUAAGAAUCACACGUGCAAUGCUAAUGCUACAUGUACGGAUACCGUGGGUUCAUACACAUGUACUUGUAAUACUGGAUUUAUGGGAAAUGGAAGGAGCUGUUCAGAUACUAAUGAAUGUUUACUGGAACAAUAUAUCGAAAAGUGUGAUCGUAAUUCUGCUUGUCAAAACACUGUGGGGUCAUAUCAUUGUAAAUGUAACAUUGGUUAUGAAGGAACUGGUACAUUCUGCACCAAUUCCAACGAAUGUUUAUCUGGAAAUUAUACAUGCGAUGGCAAUGCUACAUGCAUAGACACUAUUG